GGGUCACGGUCAUAGUCACGAGGGGAUGGCAGACGCAGACACACUCCCAACCCCCACGCAUGGACCCGCCGGUGGGAGCCACUGACCGGGAGGAAGGGAAAAUUGGUAUGGGAGAGACUUCACCAUCAUUACAAUCCCCCCACUCCCGCCUCCCAGAGUGGCUGUCUAUACCAGGAACUGUACAACACUCACUCGCCAGCCCUCAUCACCUCUAGCUCUGGGUUGAAGCCUAAAGGGUGGAAAGCCUGGCGGGUGCAAAAAUAGAUAUAAAUAUAUUGCACUGGAUGUUAUUCCUGAUUUGCGUAUUCUUUGUUUUAAUGUCAACAUAUCUAAGAUGACAUCCCUUCUUGCAACUGCUGAGCAAAAAUAAAUACGGCAUCAGAUAUGACAUAAAAUUUGAUAUAAUAUUAAAAUAAAUAGGUAAAUUUUUGUUUUAAAGUCAAAAUGUCUAGGACGUCCAUCCCGGCGAGCUCCUGAUGCUUCGCCCCACAACUCCCUCCUAGGUCUCCCCAGGUUCUAACUGCUGUGUCAUAAUCGACUUCUCAAGCUAGGAAACGUCUACUCAAAGAUUCUUCUUAGGUUUACCUAGCCUUGCCUGCAGCGCUGUUCCCAACCUCAAUGUCCUGAUGGCGAGAGUCCUUUCUAUCUUCUUCAGUGAAAUUAAGAAUGACAAAUUAAACGUAAGACGCCCACAACUUUAAAUAGAAUGGGAGGAGCAAAUCCAACUUUCAUCCCUACAUCUUUUCCUACAAGACUAUUGUCCUCUAAAUGUUAUUUUGGAAGAGAAGGAAUUUUAAGAAAUGCUCUUCAGGUAGUUGGAGAGAAGAGAGGAAGAGAGAUGGAAGCCAGGAGGCUAUUAAACCUUAUCAUAUCUCUGGUUAUGCUUUGCCAAAUCACAGUCUUGGGUCAACCCUACCAUCUUGUCUUUGCUCUUAUUCACAUAAGUUGUGAGCUCAUUAUCUUAAUUCACCUCUAUCCAAAUUAAACUGUUUUUUUCCCUUAAAAUGUAUUAGAAGUCAUCCAUCCUGGAGACUUCAUGACUCCACGUUGUCAUUACUUUCUGUC
rnacentral:lncRNA from 1 species